GACGAACGCUGGCGGCGUGCUUAACACAUGCAAGUCGAACGGAAAGGCCCUGCUUUUGUGGGGUGCUCGAGUGGCGAACGGGUGAGUAACACGUGAGUAACCUGCCCUUGACUUUGGGAUAACUUCAGGAAACUGGGGCUAAUACCGGAUAGGAGCUCCUGCUGCAUGGUGGGGGUUGGAAAGUUUCGGCGGUUGGGGAUGGACUCGCGGCUUAUCAGCUUGUUGGUGGGGUAGUGGCUUACCAAGGCUUUGACGGGUAGCCGGCCUGAGAGGGUGACCGGCGACAUUGGGACUGAGGUACGGCCCAGACUGCUACGGGAGGCAGCAGUGGGGAAUAUUGCACAAUGGGCGGAAGCCUGAUGCAGCAACGCCGCGUGCGGGAUGACGGCCUUCGGGUUGUAAACCGCUUUCGCCUGUGACGCAGCGUGAGUGACGGUAAUGGGUGAAGAAGCACCGGCUAACUACGUG
rnacentral:rRNA from 1 species